rnacentral:rRNA from 1 species
GCUCAACCGAGGAAGUGCUUCGAAAACUGGUAAACUUGAGUGCAGAAGAGGAAAGUGGAACUCCAUGUGUAGCGGUGGAAUGCGUAGAUAUAUGGAAGAACACCAGUGGCGAAGGCGGCUUUCUGGUCUGUAACUGACGCUGAGAUUCGAAAGCAUGGGUAGCAAACAGGAUUAGAUACCCUGGUAGUCCAUGCCGUAAACGAUGAGUGCUAAGUGUUGGAGGGUUUCCGCCCUUCAGUGCUGCAGCUAACGCAUUAAGCACUCCGCCUGGGGAGUACGAUCGCAAGAUUGAAACUCAAAGGAAUUGACGGGGGCCCGCACAAGCGGUGGAGCAUGUGGUUUAAUUCGAAGCAACGCGAAGAACCUUACCAGGUCUUGACAUACCAUGAAAAGCUAAGAGAUUAGUCUUUCCCUUCGGGGACGUGGAUACAGGUGGUGCAUGGUUGUCGUCAGCUCGUGUCGUGAGAUGUUGGGUUAAGUCCCGCAACGAGCGCAACCCUUAUUAUCAGUUGCCAGCAUUCAGUUGGGCACUCUGGUGAGACUGCCGGUGACAAACCGGAGGAAGGUGGGGACGACGUCAAAUCAUCAUGCCCCUUAUGACCUGGGCUACACACGUGCUACAAUGGUCGGUACAACG